AUUCCCCUAGUAACGGCGAGUGAACCGGGAAGAGCUCAAAUUUGAAAUCUGGCGUCCUCAGGGCGUCCGAGUUGUAAUCUAUAGAGGCGUUUUCCGUGCCGGACCGUGUCCAAGUUCCUUGGAACAGGAUAUCAAAGAGGGUGACAAUCCCGUACUUGACACGACGACCGGUGCUCUGUGAUACGUCUUCUACGAGUCGAGUUGUUUGGGAAUGCAGCUCAAAAUGGGUGGUGAGUUCCAUCUAAAGCUAAAUAUUGGCGAGAGACCGAUAGCGAACAAGUACCGUGAGGGAAAGAUGAAAAGCACUUUGGAAAGAGAGUUAAACAGUACGUGAAAUUGUUGAAAGGGAAACGAUUGAAGUCAGUCGUGACCGAGAGGCUCAGCCGGCUCUGCCGGUGUAUUCCCCUCGGUCGGGUCAACAUCAGUUUUGUCCGGUGGAUAAGGGCGGUAGGAAGGUGGCACCCUCGGGUGUGUUAUAGCCUGCCGUCGCAUACAUCGGGUGAGACUGAGGAACGCAGCUCGCCUUUAUGGCCGGGGUUCGCCCACGUCCGAGCUUAGGAUGUUGACAUAAUGGCUUUAAACGACCCGUCUUGAAA
rnacentral:rRNA from 1 species